AAAAAACCCUUAAACCCUGCUACUUCCGACCACCGCGAUGGCUCCAUCCCUAAUCAUCUAUACUUAUGAAGACAACAAACCUUCACCCCCAAGAAAUGAUUCGUACUUAUGAAGACACUUGUGCCAAGGGUCUCAACAUCAGUGUGGAAAAGGCAAAGAAGAAAAUUUACGCUUGCAGCACAACCGCUUACACUGGAUCGCAAGGAUAUUCACCCCAACAGAGCCAUUGUCAAAUAAUUUUCAUUUGUAGAAAAGGAAGAUAUUGAUCAUAAUCUGAGUCUGGUUGGGGGCUUGUACCGAAGUUACCAAUAUUUUUUUCUAAGUUGAUUGAUUGUCCUUGCCAAUGGGGUCAAAAAUUGAAUCUAUUGAGUUGUCAUUGUAUAAUCUUUCCCUGUUCUCUUGUCAUUACAAAGAUGGAUGUUGUAUGUAAGGCUUUUACUAGCCGCCUCCUGGUAUGUUUAAACAUGUUUGAACUGGUUUAUGUCAAACGCCUCUUUCUUUCCUUGAUGAUGAACCAACUUACAUGGUUUUGUUCACACUUGUAUUACUUACCCUAAGUCUGGUGUUAUUGAGACUCACAAUUCAAUUUUCAGUUUCUACUUUUAAGUUUCUCUCAUGUUAUUAUUACGUCUUUUUGUUGCCUUUUAAAUUGUGUUUCUACUUUGUCUACAAUGAGUUGUAGUAACUCUAUUAACUCCUUCAGGUGUUUGCAGUAUCAAGUGAACUUAAUUAUGUUGUUCUGUCUUUAUUAUUUAUGUUGUCUUUUUACUCAUAAAUCUUCACUUCCCCUCUUUUCUUGGGUUUGAUAUUAUAUACAAUGUGAUUUUCAUAUAUGCUGAUUUUGUGUGUUUGAGCAUAUGGGUAUUCUUCAUUGGAAUCGGAAGAGUGCUUCUUUUCUUUUUUUUCUUUGAAAGGUUUCAACUUUUUGUAUUAGAACUGAAGGCUGUGUAGUGUUGAGGUAAAGAAUAAACAAUGGAGCAUGUUGUGCAGCAAGGCCGUUCUCGGGCCGAGACUCCUACGUGUUCGGUUGCCUCUGUUGUUACCGGCACGGUCUUCGUCUGCUUCUCGGGUGAUUAUUCUAUCCACUGUCUUUGUCUGCUUCCUGGUUGAGCGUUCUAUCCACCGCUUUGGAAAGGUUAACACAUUCAAUCACAGAUUUCUUUAAAAUGAUCUUCUCAAUUAAUCAACCCUUCUCUGCUGUUUGUCUUCCAUUUUGCUAGAUAGUAUUGAAUUUGCAUUUUAUUUAGUACUACUAUCUUAGGAAAUCAUGUGUAAGUGACGUAAACAACCUAAGAAGCAAUAAUGCA